rnacentral:tRNA from 1 species
GCACUGGUGGUUCAGUGGUAGAAUUCUUGCCUUCCGUGAGGGAGACGGGGUUUGAUUCCCAGCCAGUGCA